rnacentral:lncRNA from 1 species
GGAGGGGGUAGCAGAGGAGGGGACUUGGACUCCAUGUGGCUCCUUCUCUCUCUCCCAGUGCCCCCAUCGCCAGAGCUGGCCUAAAAGAAUCUCCUCCCCCCACGCCCAGCUCCCCAGCCUCACUAGGCUGCAGGAGAGGAAGAAGAAAGGUCCAGAGGAGAUGUCUGAGAGGUGCAUGGAGAAACAGGCCCCAGCGGAGGUGAGCAGAGGGACCAAAAAAAGGCUCUCCCAGCAUCUCCAUUACAGCUGGAACAUACAAAGCAGUCCCAUCGCCCUAAAUAUUCACGUGUGCGUCCUCUUUGUAGUCAGCCACACCUUGUCUACCAGUCCCUGCCAACCUCCAAUGAUGAAUUGAAUUCUACAAUGGAAUUCAGCAGACGGUCUGCAAAUGUUGGCUGAUUGGCUAGUUGGUUGGUUAAAUGGACGAACCAUGCGACCUUGGACAAGUCACGUGACAUCUCUAAACCUCAGUUUCCUCACCUCUGCAUGGGGGUAGCCAAACCUGGGGUGUAUUUGUUCCUUCAGCAAACAUUUCAUGAAUUCUUCCUAUGAGGCUGGCACCAUUCCAUUGGCCAGGAACAUAGCCAUGGAAAAAACAGACAAAGAUGCCAGUCCCUGGGGUUGCUUAUAUUGGAAAAGGCAGACAUUUGACAAACAGAGCAACAGAGAAAAUGUAAAGACUGAGGACAGAAAUACUAUGUAGAUGACUCAGCAGGGAAUCGGGGAUACAGAUGUGGUGGGGGGAGGUGCUUUAAAAUAGGGUAAUCAGAGUGACUGUAGGUACAUGCCUGCAGGCCCGGCAUUUCAGGAAGAUGGGAAUUCAAGACUAGUCUUGGCUAUACGGUGAAGGCCUGUCUCAAGCCAGUCUUGAAAGCACGAGGAAGGGAGGGAUGCUGCACAAAUCAUUUCAACCCAUGUGGGGUGUACCUGGAGGAUCCUGGAAAGAGCCAGAAGGCCAGCAAGGCUGACGGGAAUGAACACAGUCAGGGCAAAAUGGAUCACAUAGCUUGAAAAGGCCAGAUGGCCUAGUGUCUUGUGGGUCAUGGUGCCUUUAUUCUCAGCAAAAUGGUAAGGCAUCUCUGGGUUUUGAGAAUUACACGAUCUGACCUAUGUUGU